rnacentral:rRNA from 1 species
GAGUUUGAUUAUGGCUCAGGACGAACGCUGGCGGCGUGCGUAACACAUGCAAGUUGAACGACGGUGUCAUGAAGUGGUAACACGGAAUGGCAUACGGAGUAGCGGACGGGUGAGUACAACAUGAGAAGCUGUCCAAUAGUGGGGGAUAACGUUCGGAAACGGACCCUAAUACCCCAUAGGCCUUUUGGUUAAAGCAGCGAUGUGCUAUUGGAGGUGCUCGUGUCCUAUCAGCUGGUUGGUGAGGUAACGACUCACCAAGGCGACGACGGGUAGCCGGCCUGAGAGGGUGUCCGGCCACACUGGAACUGAGAUACGGUCCAGACUCCUACGGGAGGCAGCAGUGGGGAAUAUUGGGCAAUGGGAGAAAUCCUGACCCAGCGACGCCGCGUGAACGAAGAAGGCCUUCGGGUCGUAAAGUUCUUUUAUGUGGGAAGAAGGAAGUGA